GCGGAGCGGAGCGGAACUCGCAGAGCAAGCUAUGAAAUAAACAAGGAGAAUGAUCUGAAGUGGGAAGGCCAGAGUGGGCUACAGCAAUAAAUUGGGCAAGACAUGAUGAGGACUUGAACCUGUGCUUCAAAAGCUGGCAUGAAAAGAGAAGUUCAACAGAUACUUACAAGUAAAAAUAUUUUUAAAAAGACUUGGCUAAAAACAAAAACAAGACUUGGCUAAAGGACUUAAGGAAUGAAGAAAAAGAAAUGGAAUGAAACAGAAAAGAUGAAAAUGAAGAAAAGAAAAAAGGAAUGGAGUUCUGAAUCAUCACAUGGAAGACUCUUGUGAAAGAAGCCAAAUACAGAAGGCCACACACCAUAUGAUUCCAUUUAUACAAAUGUUCAGAAAAGGCAAAUCUAUAGAGACAGAAAGUAUAUUAGUGGUUGCCAGGGUCUGGGAAAAGGAGGAAGACAUAGGCAGUGACUGCUAAGGAGUCAGGGCUUCUCUGUGAGGUGAUGGAAAUGUUCUGCAAUCAGAUAGUGGUGAUGGUUAUACAACCCUGUGGAUAAUCUAAAAACCACUGAAUUGUACACUUUAAAAAGGUGAAUUUUAUGGUAUGUGAAUUAUUUCUCAAGCAAAAAAAGGGAUAAAAAAGAGUUUUUGUGUGUGUCUUUUUAAAAAAACGAUCUGACUGCUAUCGACUGUGGACAAGACAUUUAACCUACCUCUCAUUUUGUUGG